rnacentral:pre_miRNA from 1 species
GUUUUUCUCCUGGCAAACACUGUAGGCCUGUAUGUCCUUUCUGAACUAGCAUAAGGCACGCGGUGAAUGCCAAGAGCGAACGA